AGGCGACAGCGAGAGCGCGAAGAAUGAGCGCUCCACGCAUUCAAUAAGUGCCAACAAUCCCGAUUGGAAGCUGAAUAUUGAGUGUUAAGUAUUAGAUAGUGGCGGACGGGUGAGUAACGCGUGGGUAACCUACCCAUAAAGCCGGGACAACCCUUGGAAACGAGGGCUAAUACCGGAUAAUCUUAGAGCCUGGCAUCAGGUUUUAAGGAAAGAUGGCCUCUGAAUAUGCUAUCGAUUAUGGAUGGACCCGCGUCUGAUUAGCUAGUUGGUGAGGUAAAGGCCUACCAGGGCGACGAUCAGUAGCCGGCCUGAGAGGGUGAACGGCCACACUGGGACUGAGACACGGCCCAGACUCCUACGGGAGGCAGCAGUGGGGAAUCUUCCGCAAUGGACGAAAGUCUGACGGAGCAACGCCGCGUGUAUGAUGAAGGUCUUCGGAUUGUAAAGUACUGUCUUUGGGGA
rnacentral:rRNA from 1 species